GAUGGAGUUGAAGACAGAUAGUUAUGGUUAUAGUUUUCUUCAGUUAUUAUAAAAGAUAAGUUAUCCUUUUUAUUUAGACAAAAGAGAGGAGAUGAUGGGGAAAGUACUUCUGUAUAUGUUUAUCUUAUUGGUUGUUGAAUAAAGCACUGUUGGCCAAUAGGGAAGCAAGUUAGGCAGGACUAGGAGUCGAAGGGGAUUCUGGGAAAUGUAGUAAAAAGAAGUCUUGUGAUACAGGCAGGGAGUGACAUAGCAGGCAGACUCAUAUAUAAGGAGGGACAAACAGGAAGUUGUCCCUUUUCUCUUGCUCUUCCUCUCUCCUGCUCUCUGCUCUGGAGCUGCCAUGUGAUCCUGGCAAGAGAAGACGCUGAAGCUGGUGUACAAUAAGAUAAGUCUUUAUGGUUGAUACUUAAGACUGAGCUAGCAUAUAAGAAAUCCUAGUUAAUUGGCCAGAAGCAUUGUAAACUAAUAUAAGACUCUGUGUGUUAUUUUGGGCGCCCACAUGGUAGCGGGGCUUGGGCGGAUGGAAUAAAGACUUAUCGUUAUAGCCUAGGCUUCAGAUUCCCUGGAACUGGAGUUUCAGACAGUUGGGAACUGCCAUGGGGGUGCUGGGAAUUGAACCCGGGUCCCUUGGAAGAGCAGCCAGUACACUUAACUGCUGAGCCAUCUUUCCAGCCCUGAAAAUCAAUAUUAUAAAUUUGUUAUUCCACCUUAAACUGGUAUAUGUGUUCUAAUUAAGCCACCUUAAAAUCCCACUGGCUUAUUGAGGUACGCAGAUCUUUGCUUCUGAAACUUAUAUAAAAUGUGGAGUACCAAAAAGAAGCUUGAAAAUAUUAAAGAACAAUUUGGAGGAUUGGUGUUACUAGAUAUUAGUAUUUUUUCAAUAUUAUUUCAAUAUACAGUGAUCAAGACAGUAAGUUUUAGCAUGAAAAUAGAUUAACCAACAAUGAGAGAAAAUUGCAAGAUUAGAUACUAACCCACACAUGUAUGAAUUUUUGAGCCUGUGUGGUAGCAUAUGCCAGUAACCUGGGUAUAUGGCAAUCAGGAGACUGAAAUAGGAGAGUUACUACUAGUUUGAGGCCAGCCUGAGCUACAUAGUAAAAACUAGAUGUCCUAGUGAGUUUUACCUGUCAACUUAACACAGCCUAGAGUCUUCAGAGAAGGGAGUCUCAGUUGAGGUGCCCAGAUAACACUGACCUGUUAGCAUGUCUAUGGAGGAUUAUCUUAAAUGUCAGAAAGCCCAGUCCACUGUGGGCAUCAUCAUUCCCUGGGCAGCUGGUGCUGGACUGUAUAAGAAACCUAGGAAGAUGGGCCUGUGAGUAAGUCAGCAAGCUGAGUUCCUCCAUGAUUUCUGCUUCAAGUUCCAGCUUGGGUUCCUGCUCUGACUUCCCUUGAUGAUGAACUGCAACCUAUGUUGCCCUUCUGUUUCUGGACAUCCUAGAUGUUUUCACGUGUUUCAUUGUUCUACAGUAAAUUUGGAAUCACUUCUCAACCUCAUAUAAAAAUGUGGCAGCCUCAGGAACCAGACCUGGCUUGUGGCUCAGUGCUGACACAGACGUUCAGAGUACUACUGUAGGGAGGGGUCAGUAUGGCACAGAAGAGAUGGAGGUUGCCAUCUAGAGGAAUCAAGUUGCCCACUGGUUGAAUCUGGGGGUAGUUUCCUGUGAAUGCCAGGACAAGGACAGUGGCCUCGGCAGUUGCCCAAACCCUCUCUACAUGUCAAAUAUAGGUGUUUAUAUCACUUACAAGAUGAGAAGGAAUUAUUAGUUUCUAUUACUCCCAACCCUCAAUGGAGUGCUGGUGCUAUAUCCAAUGUGAUGGCUAUUCUUGGCCACCAACUUGAC
ensembl:lncRNA